rnacentral:rRNA from 1 species
AGGAUUAACGCUGGCGGCGUGCAUGAGACAUGCAAGUCGAACGGACACUCACGGGCUUGCUCGUGAGUGUUAGUGGCGGACGGCUGAGUAACGCGUAGGUGACUUGCCCUGAAGUGGGGAAUAACUGCCCGAAAGGGUGGCUAAUACCGCAUGUGGUGGUGCGUUCAAUCGCACCAGUAAAGCCGCAAGGCGCUUCAGGAGAGGCCUGCGUCCGAUUAGCUCGUUGGUGGGGUAACGGCUCACCAAGGCGACGAUCGGUAGGUGGUCUGAGAGGACGAUCACCCAGACUGGGACUGAGACACGGCCCAGACUCCUACGGGAGGCAGCAGUCGGGAAUUUGCGCAAUGGGCGAAAGCCUGACGCAGCAACGCCGCGUGAGGGAUGAAGGCCUUCGGUUGUAAACCUCUUUUCUCAGGGAAGAUUAUGACGGUACCUGAGGAAUAAGCCAACGGCUAACUACGUGACCAACAGCCGC